rnacentral:rRNA from 1 species
CCUACGGGGGGCAGCAGUAGGGAAUAUUGCUCAAUGGGGGAAACCCUGAAGCAGCAACGCCGCGUGGAGGAUGAAGGUUUUCGGAUUGUAAACUCCUUUUGGUAGAGAAGAAAAUGACGGUAUCUAACGAAUAAGCACCGGCUAACUCCGUGCCAGCAGCCGCGGUAAUACGGAGGGUGCAAGCGUUACUCGGAAUCACUGGGCGUAAAGAGCGCGGAGGCGGGAUAGCAAGUCAGAUGUGAAAUCCUAUGGCUUAACCAUAGAACUGCAUUUGAAACUGUUAUUCUAGAGUAUGGGAGAGGUAGGUGUACUUCUUGGUGUAGGGUUCAAAUCCGUAGAGAUCAAGCGGACUACUCAUUGCGAAGGCGACCUGCUAGACCAUACCUGCCGCUGAUGCGCGAAAGCGUG